rnacentral:rRNA from 1 species
UACGUAGGGUGCAAGCGUUAAUCGGAAUUACUGGGCGUAAAGCGUGCGCAGGCGGUGAUGUAAGACCGAUGUGAAAUCCCCGGGCUUAACCUGGGAACUGCAUUGGUGACUGCAUUGCUAGAGUAUGGCAGAGGGGGGUGGAAUUCCACGUGUAGCAGUGAAAUGACGUAGAGAUGUGGAGGAACACCGAAUGGCGAAGGCAGCCCCCUGGGCCAAUACUGACGCUCAUGCACGAAAGCGUGGGGAGCAAACAAGG